GGAAGAUGAUGAUUGAUAUUUUUUGGUCCGUGUUUCUGAAUAAACUGUGACUGAUACCAUCUACCAACCUCUGAUUCC